UACGAAGGGGGCUAGCGUUGCUCGGAAUCACUGGGCGUAAAGCGCACGUAGGCGGAUUCCUAAGUCGGUGGUGAAAUCCUGGAGCUCAACUCCAGAACUGCCUUUGAUACUGGGAGUCUCGAGUCCGGGAGAGGUGAGUGGAACUGCGAGUGUAGAGGUGAAAUUCGUAGAUAUUCGCAAGAACACCAGUGGCGAAGGCGGCUCACUGGCCCGGUACUGACGCUGAGGUGCGAAAGCGUGGGGAGCAAACAGG
rnacentral:rRNA from 1 species